CAUGCACUGGUGGGGUCCCUCAGCCUGGCCUGCGCCCUCCACAAUCUGGAACCCCUCAGGGGAUGUCAGACUGCCAGUUUCGGCCCGGUCCCUGCAGGCCAGGCCGAGGGACCCCACUAGUGCACG
rnacentral:pre_miRNA from 1 species